rnacentral:lncRNA from 10 species
UAGCAUUUCACCUCCAGCAUGCCCAAAAAUCCAUUUGAUUUACUCCCCCUCUUUUUUUACGUUGAAGUGCCCAACAGGUAUAAUCAUUAUCUUCUCUAUACCCUGAACUCCCUUGCCUUCUCUUUCUUUAUUGUACUAUUGCAUUGUUCUGAAAAAUGAGAGUGGAAAAUGUUACAAAUUUAUAAUACACUCCAUAGUCAUAGAGAGCUAGGAAAAGACAAUUCUGUCUUCCCAGCAUACUGAGAGGUGGGUGACACUAUCCUCAUUUUAUAUGAGAGAAAACUGAUCCUCAUGAGAUUAAGGGACUUGUCCAAUAUCGAAGCAAAUAAAGUGCAGAGUCAUAAUGUGAACCCAAUUUAUCUGAGGAGAUAAAAGUUGGUGGAAAAGUGCAGUUUUAGGAAUCGAGAAACCCCUAGAAUGCAAUUUUAAAAACAGAGUGUAUAAAUGAGUUUAAAAGAAUGGGUUUAAAAAGCAAUUGGCAGCUCAUAAGAACUAUAUAUAUGUUGAUAUGUUGAAAUUAUUUAAAAUAAUGUAUUUAAUCUACUUAUUCAUUCAUACAGAAGGCACUAUUUCAACACCUUUGAUGUAGAGAUUAUUGUGUUGGGAUCUUCACAUUUGAAGGAGUUCACCACAUGGUGAGAAAGACUGAUCAGAAUCAUUACAAACCAAUGUGGAUUCCUUCAACUUUAAUUGUGGGGGUAAAAUCAGGCAGCCACUGAAGAUAAAAUACAGUCCCUGGGAGUAAUCACAAUUCACAAUGCUGUUUUCUUUUGUGAAGUGGACAUGAAAGAGUUUUUUGGUUUUUUUGUUUUGUUUUGUUUUGUUUUUUGUUUUUUUUUUUUUUGCGCAAGUGGUCAGAAGUUGUUAAAAUUGUCCCCAUUCAUGGGUACAAAUUCUGGAGAUAUAUAAUGAUAGGUGGAAAAAAGAGAAACAAAAUUGUAUAUAAUUUAUUAUUUCAAUAAAAAUACACAUCCAUAUAACUUUUAUAGAAAGAGAAGACAUAAUACUGUUAUACCCAAAUAGCAACAAUAGUUAACUCUGAGAAGUAGCAUAUUAAUUGUUACUUUAUCCUUUGUUCUUUUCUAUGACUCCUUCAAGAGAACAUAUCUCACUUUGGUCAUUAGGAAAACUUUUCUUUUCUUUUAAAUAGUUCUAAAUUUAUAUGCCUAGUCUUAUUCAAAAUGCAACUGAGAGCUACUUCCUACUGUCCCCCUAAAUCUUCAGUUAAUCUCAUAAGAUAUGAGAACCACCCUGAUUUUAACAUUAGAGAUUGAGCCAUCUGUCUGAAUUAUGAAUUCUUUCAACAUUUAACUCAUGCUUACUAUGUGUCACGGGUAUUUUGUUAGACACUGGAAAUACAAAAAUGUAUAUAUGCAGACAAUUAUAAAACAAUGUAGAAAUGGAAUAAUAAAAUUAUUCACAGGGUAUUUUUGGAGCCUCAAGAAAAAAGAGCACCUAACUGAGUCAGGCUGGAGUUCACAGAGGACUUUCUAGAAAACAUGUUAUUUGAACUGGAGGGAGAUGAAGAGGAGAUGCUCUAUUACUCCGGGUUGAGAGGAUAGUAUUUGCAAAGACUUGGAGAUAAUCAGCAUGAAAGUGUAUGCAGGGAAACUUCACCUACAUUCUGUUCAUUUGACAUUGCUAAGAUGUGAUUCCCCACUCUUCAGUACAAGCUGCCUCCUCAGAUGUCCAGUGUUGCCAUCUCAUCUCCUAAACUGAGUAUGCUGUGUCUGUGGACAGGCUUUGACUGUGGGUAUCUUGGCCAGCAUGUUACAGUUUACCUACAUUUUGCUAGGAUCAUAUAAAUUCACACUAAUUCCACUAUUUGUUUGGGUUUUGGCCCCAGAAGUAUCUGUAGUGUAUUGGAUUUGGCAAGAUUUUACUCAAGUCAACGUGAUAUUUCGUUGGGCAACUUGAUCCUCUGCCUGUUCCCUAUCACCACCGUAGGUUUUAAGAAGUAUAUAUACUGGGGGAGAGCAAUGGUUCUCGAAGCCCAGUUCCUGGGCAAGCAACGUCACAUUCUAAAACUUGUUAGAAAUGAAAAUUCUCAGGCACUCUUGAGACCUACUCAAAUAGAAACUAUGUGAGUGAGCUCAGCAACCUGUGGCUUAACAAAUACUUCAGGUGAUUCUAAAAAACACUAAAUUUUAAGAACCAUUGAUGUAGAGAAAAUGGACAGGCAAUAAUUACUAGUAUUGAGUGUUGAUCUCAUGCCACAUGUAAUUUCCUGGUGACCUUGGUUGGAUCAGGAAGAGCUGUAAGAGGAGUUUCUGUAUGCAGUAGUUGAAGGUCUUGUGGGGACAUUUUUUCUUAGAAACUUGCCAUACAAAGCAUCUGCAGAAAUAGUGAGAUUGCAUCCAACACCAUCUUGGAACUUAUUGGAAGUUCAGAAUCUCAGAUCCUACAGUCCAUUUCAGGCCUAUUGAAUCAUAAUGUUUCUGCUAACUGAUCCCCAGUUGGUUAAAUUCAAGUUUGAGAAGUGCUAUGGCUAUACUCUUAUUUCAGACCUCAAUGCUUGCUUAACUACAAUUAUUUAAACAGUACCUGCAUGAGUUUUGCCUUAUUUAUGCACCAUGGUUACUAUUAUUUACUUAAAAUUUCUAUGUGAACCCAACUCAUACCUUAAAAAAUAAAUCGUUUUUAAAUUAGACUAUACCAAUUCCAUUGAAGGAAAAGCAUCUCAAUUUGCUUCAAGUAGA